rnacentral:rRNA from 1 species
UACGUAGGGGGCAAGCGUUAUCCGGAAUUAUUGGGCGUAAAGAGUACGUAGGCGGUUCUUUAAGCGCAGGGUCUAAGGCGAUAGCUUAACUAUCGUUCGCCCUGUGAACUGGGGGACUUGAGUAUCGGAGAGGAAAGCGGAAUUCCUAGUGUAGCGGUGAAAUGCGUAGAUAUUAGGAGGAACACCAGUGGCGAAGGCGGCUUUCUGGACGAAAACUGACGCUGAGGUACGAAAGCGUGGGGAGCAAACAGG